rnacentral:rRNA from 1 species
UACGGAGGGUGCGAGCGUUGUCCGGAAUCACUGGGCGUAAAGGGCGCGUAGGCGGUUUUGUAAGUCAGAUGUGAAAGCCCCGGGCUUAACCUGGGAACUGCGUUUGAAACUACAAGGCUAGAGUGUGGCAGAGGGGGGGUGGAAUUCCACGUGUAGCAGUGAAAUGCGUAGAGAUGUGGAGGAACACCGAUGGCGAAGGCGGCCCGCUGGGGCAACUGCUGACACUGAGGCGCGACAGCGUGGGGGAGCAAACAGG